AAUGAAAAUGAAAGUAUGAAAAACAGUUGGAAAGUACCGUUGCCACUAGUUCAUGACCAAGCUAGCUCAGAGCAGUUACGACAAGACAUAAAAAACAGCUGCUGAAACAUUUCUCAGGAUAAUGCAGCCAAUUGAGAUGGCAUUUUUAUCUGUUGGAAGCAUGACUCUGAAAGCAGGAAGUGUGAUAAUUCCUGGGUCUGUGAUCAUAACAGGAAUGAUCUGCACUACACUGGCCGUUGUUACUUACUACUGGAAGAGUAAACCCCACCGACACAGGCAGUGAUGAAGAUAGUUAGUGGAACGAUCUUGCUGAACAUCAAUGCUGCCAUCACAAUGCAACCUUGGAUUCAUUAGAUUCAAUGCUUUUAGGAUAGCAACAAUUGGCUUUUUGUCUGUAGACAAAAGAAUCAUCACACAAGGUGAAAAACAAAGAAGCAGAAGAAAAUGGAUGUAUUAAUUAGAUAAACACUUAUUAAUUGAUUAAAUAAAGCAUCUAGAUCAUUUAACUUGAAUAAAACUUGCAGCUUGUUGACUUUACUGUGUUUAUAAUCUGAAUUAAGAAUCAUCACUGUUUGCUUUGAGCUGUAAUUACUGAUAUAUGUUCAAAUGCUAUGGAUGCUGAAGAUGUGGUAAGGAUAAAUGCUACACACUAAACCAAAAUCUGAUGCUAUUGUUUAAAAUGGUCAUAAUUUCAAUAAAUGUUCGGUUUAUAAUGCAUUAUAAACACACAGCAUGCAAAUAACAUG